GAGCAGUUUGAGGUAGGAUAAAACACGCAUCCACAAGUUUUUCAAGCCAGUUCACUGCUUUCACCACAGAGCAGACCCUACUUCAGUGUUUUCCAUGGCCAAAGUCUCCUGACUGAGUUUUAAUAUUGAUCAAACCCACAUUUUAUUUGUCAGAGCUGCCUUUUGCUUUUUGGACACUGCAACUUCCCAGCAACAAGUCCACCUCGCCAAGUGGUCAAAGUCACCGGGCUGCAGCGGCUUAACAAACAUGCAAAUCUCUUGAUUUAAUCACAGCUCUGACGCAGGGCCACUCCAGCCCAGCAGCCCCGAGCCUUAUCCCGGCUCCGAGCCCACCCCUGGCUGGCCCCAUGCCUCAGUUUCCCCAGCGAUGACAGGCUCUGCCCAACUGGAAUCUACUGAUUAAAUAAAAACCCCAACAACUCCUUACGCCCAAACCAUCUAUUACUUAAACAUGUGAUGGAGCCAACGUGCUCCACCGGUGCUUCCAGUGUGGGAUUGGGCUCAGCUUUCCAUUUUAACUGGUGGAAGCACGAGGAACAGUCCCUAGGUGUCUCUGCCUUUAACAGGCUACCCAUUCGAGAGAGGAAGAACCCAAACCAUGCACCAAAUGGCUUUUCCAUGAGGAAUUCUCCCUCUCCAAUGGAGGGUUCUUGCUGCGACAGCAUUUCCAGCUGUUCCCCCUCCCUGCUGGGGCAGCAUCUCCUACGGACACGAGGGAACCACGCUGGCUCCCAGGUCCUUCCAGGGAAGCUCCAGCAGGGUCACUGCUGUCACCCAGUGAUCUCACAGGACAUCGGGGCUGGAAGUUGUCACAAAGCCAUUGACUCUGUUGACAGAAGAGAGGGUUGAGAGGAGCGCCAGGAGGGCUCCGUUUACACGACAACCAGCUGGAAGAGGAGCACAAAACCCGGCUGGUGACGCAAAACAAAGCGCUGGACCAUCCCAGUGCUUUUCAAACGCUUUGUGGGGAAACUGUUCCCUGUUGCAACACACGAGCGAUGCCGCUGUAACCGGAUCCCUCCAGCUCGCUCGAAGAUUUCAAAGAACACAGACCCAGGCUGGAGACCAGAAAAACCAGAGGUUUCUUCAGCAACAGAGCACAGUGAGCUGAGCCAUGCAACCAAACCCCAAGUGCCAUCGCAGGACUGCAAAAAAAGCUUCCUCUCACUUUCAGUACAGCAAAUAUAUGGAAUAAAUACCUUUUUUCUUGCCUGUUGUUGGGAAAAAUUAGAGAUAUCCCCGUGCCAGCUUCUGCUCUGCUUCCCCUUGCCCCCCAACUUCUGUACAACCAUGUGCCAGAGAGCAGUGUCCACUCAUCUGACAAGGAUUCUUCCCAAAUCCAGGGCUUUCAUCAGCUAGACAGGACUAUGGUCUUCCAGGCAGCAAAAUAUUACAUUUCAGGGGAAAACCAAAGAAAACAAAUGUAAAAAAUAAGCCAUGUGAUUUGAUACCCAAACAGGAAAACUGCAAAGGAUAUAAUCUGGUUAGAUCACUGAAUCCUGUACUUUCCCAUUUAUAACACCGAAUUGUUGUAUUAAUUCACAUCAAAAUGUAAUUUUUUCCUGUGUGCAACGCCGGGGAGGGGG